CCAUGUAUGGGAAAUGUAACAUGGUGGUGCCUAGGAAAAUGGAAGGUUCCAGGUUUCCUGUCCCACCCAAGGGAGUGUGGAGCUGAGUAGGUGGAGAAGAAGCUGGAGAGGAGACCGAGGAAGGAAGGAAGCAAGAUGGAGCCAGAAGGAGACCUGGAGGAUGCACAUGCAGCAGAGAGACAUGUGGAGAAACUGCGCUUGCCUUUUGGUCGUGGAUAAGGUGACACAGAUGUGGACUCUCUGCAGCCCCUUGAUGACAACCCCCUGGAGACCGCAAAGCAGAUGCUUUUCCCUUCGGCUCCCUGUGCCUUUCCCGAGGGCUAUUUUAAUUUUUUUAACUGAAGCAACACUGAUUUACAGUACUGUGAGUGAUUUAGGGGAAUAAUCUCACAUCUCUUCGGAUCUGUGUUACCAAAGCAGUAUAAUAACAACUUUAUUGAAGACGGGCGGUGGGAGCUUGGUCCAGCUGGAAGCUGCUCUGGCCGCAGGUUUGGGCACCGGGGGCUCUACUCGGUGGUGCUUGGUCCUGGGAGCGGGGGCGGGAAGAAGCCCCGAAGGAACAGCGCGCCCCUGGCACCUGGAUCACUAGGAGGCUGAGGCCGGCAGCGAAGGUCCCUGAGCCCAAUGGCAUCGCGCGCCCUCCUGGCCGGGUCUGGACUCAGCCCAGACCCAAACCUCUCAGGUCACUAAGCUGCUCGCCCAGGGGGCCGCCUCUCAGAGUGCCCGCAGUGCCUUAUUUAUUUAUUUGUUAUUAUUAUUUUAUUUUAUAUAUUU